GAAAUGCGAUACGUAAUGCGAAUUGCAGAAUUCAGUGAAUCAUCAAAUUUUUGAACGCAUCUUGCGCUUUCGGGUGACCGAGAGCAUGCCUCUUUGAGUAUCGUUUCAAACCACACUCGGCUGCGACCUUUUUGAAAAAACGGGUUAGCAAUGGUCCGGAUAAUGAGAGUCCCCACUUUUUUUGUGGCGUCUCUUGAAAUGUGUAUGACUUUUUUGUCUGUUAUUCUUCCAGUAGAGCGAGAGUUCUUACUUUUUCUGGUUGAUGCUUGAUACUUGACUUCGGUCAUUCUCUGCAUCUGACUUUUGAUAAUAAGAACAAUAUUUCUUUCUUUAUGGGGAUUUGUAACAUGAUAGGUCUUCAAGGAAAAACACUUGAUAACUCGAUCUCAAAUGAAGCAAG
rnacentral:misc_RNA from 1 species